AAUGAAGGCUGAGGUGUGCGCCUUUUUUUUUUUUCCUUCUUAGUCGUGUGUACAUCAUUGGGAAUGGAGGGAAAUAAAUGACUGGAUGGUCGCCACUUUUUAAGUUUCAAAUUGACAUUCUAGACAAGCGGUGCCUGAGCCCGUGCCUGUCUUCAGAUGUUCACAGCACAGUUCCUGGGAAGGUGGAGUCACCAGCCUCUCCCUGACAAGCAAAGUGGACCAACAAAGGCUGCAGUCACCAGCAUCUUUUCCAUCCUUAAUUAACGGCAUCCUCUAAAGGACACUAUCAGACUGGCUCUGCCGACUUCCAGUUCUGGAACAAGAUGAUUAAACUCAUUUUUCCCCGCUCUGCUCCUCUAAAUACAGCUAAGUACCUUGGAAACUAUUCAGCAGACAAUGAUAAAGAACUCUGAAAGCUAGAAGAAAAGAAGGUGUACUUGCAAGAAACCUCAGGACUUGAGAAACAGCAACAUGGCAGGCCAGAAAGGAGACCCAGGCAGGACAGCCCACGUCUUCGGCUGCACUGGUGAGGGCAUCAUGCCUGCUCCACACCACAUUUUUAUUCAAAUCUUGGAGGUGCCUGAAGAUGUCUACAACUGGAAGAAAAGAAGCCACUGGAGCGGAAGGUGGGGAGGAUAAAGUUUGGAGCAAGAUUCUCAAGGAAGCAACAAGAUCCUAAGAAACGGAGAAAGAGACCACCUACUGCAUUUCUGUCCCAUGCUGAAAAGGACACUCUGUCAGAGAAUCUUCUAGCAAACUUCAAAGAGCAAAAUCACCCUUUGUUAUGGAUGAAGUCCAGAGAGCUUCAGCAGCUAACAUUCCCUGGACAGGGUACAGCAAGGAUUUGAACCUAGGCCAGUCUGGCCAGAACACUCACAAGCUUUCCUUAACUCAGUGGGCUAUCUCCCCAAGACUAGGUCACUACUGCUUUAUUAUCACCUUUGUAGCCACCAGUGGAUUUUGCUCAUCAGUAUUUUCCAGGUAAUUGAUACUUUAGAUGUUCAACUGCAAGACGUAUGCAGUUUUCAUUGACAUCUUUUGGAGAAACUGACAAACCUGGACUUGACUUAAUGUCUUUGGAACCUUCCAAGAUGUUAUAUAACUCUAGAUAGAAGGCUGGGCCUCCACAAGGUCAGGAACGUUGCAUUCUUAUUUUGCCAUAGAUAAACCCAUUUGUCCACAAAGUCAAGAAGUCAGGCAGAGGCCCUUGCCAUGGGGCUUUUUAGGAUGGAGUAACACGCUUGGACUUUGCUCUGUGACAGGGUUUUGCAUAGGGAGUGGUAUGACCAGAUCCCUCAAGAAAAAAAGCUUAGAGACCAGGCCAGAGUGCACUGCAGUAGCCCAGUCAAGAGAGGAUGGUGACUUGAACUUUAGUAGAGCCGUUAAAAUGAAAGAAAUUGACACAUUCAGAAAUGGUUUUAGAGGUAAAGUCAAACUGGACCUGAUAAAGAACUAGAGAAAUGGAGUGAGGAUAAAGAGAAGAACCGUGACUGACUCGGAAGAUUUCGUCUUGAAAAACUUGAGAACUCAAGACAGAGUAAAAUAAAAUCACGUGGGAAAAAUCUCCCGCUUUGUUUUGGACAACUUUGAAGUGAAAUGCCUGUUAAGUCUAAGUGGGGUUGGCCAUGGCGUACAUGAGUGUGGGCUCAGGAUGGAUACAGGCAUCAGUAGUGAGCAAAUAGAACUUAAAGCCAGGAGAGAAGAAGGGGUCACCAAGAGAGACAGUGUGGCAUGGAGAAGAAAAGAGGUGGGAGAUGACCCCUGGGCAGAAAAGUCCUUAGAGCAGAGGCAACAGGCAUGACCAAGAAGACUAAGAAAGAACAUUCAGUACAGCAGAAGGAGAGCAAAGAGUGUGUGGUGUUCUAGAAGCAAAGAGAAUAAAGGGCUUCAGGAAGGAGCAAUCGAGUGUGUCAAAUAAGAUAAAGACAGACAAGUCCCCUGGAUUGGGUAGGAAUAAAUAACAGCAGGCUGCCAUACAAAUGGUUCCAUCUACACCGUCUAAAAGAAUAUUGUUUAUUCUCCAUACAUUUAAUAAACACCUGCCAUAUGCCAGGUAUCCUUUCAAGCACUGAAAUGCAGACAUUCAUAAAACAUGGUCUCUGCUCUGGAGGAGCUCACAGUGGUGAGGAGGAAACAGGCAAUAGCGAGUGUUCUCAUUGCAUUUUUGACCCCAUUGAUCUCGCAACAGCCCCAUGCAUCAGUUAUUGCCAUUAUACCAUUUUACCAAUAAGGAAACUGUGACAGGGAGGGGUCAAGCACCUUGGGUAUUUGACAGCAAAACCAAGGCUUGGUGGUAACGUAAAACUUCCAAGUAGUAAUUCACAAAGGUGACUGGGAAAUGACCAGAAAUCUUUGCACUAUGAGAACAAGUUCAUCUGAAAUACAGAUGGACUUAGGAUGACGCUGAUACCUUCUUGUCCAGGUGGUAUAGCUCCAGACCAAAUGUCUGCUGCCACCUACCCAACAACUUGUUGGGUAAAAAUGGCUACGCCUAUAGUCAAAUGAUUUUUGACAAAGGUGCCAAACAGUUAGAUGGGAAAAA